UACGUAGGUGGCAAGCGAUACUCGGAAUCACUAGGCGUAAAGCGCAGGUAGGAGGUUUAGUAAGUCUGUUGUGAAAGCUCCCGGCUUAACUGGGAGAGGUCAACGGAAACUGCUAGGCUAGAGUGCGGUAGAGGUAGCUGGAAUUCCCGGUGUAGCGGUGAAAUGCGUAGAUAUCGGGAGGAAUACCGAUGGCGAAAGCAGGCUACUGGACCGUCACUGACUCUGAUCUGCGAAAGCUAGGGGAGCAAACAGG
rnacentral:rRNA from 1 species